rnacentral:rRNA from 1 species
GGUGUGGUGGAGCCGGCGGUCCGAGUCUGUAGUAGGUGAGUGAUGGGGUGACGCAGGAAGGUAGUCCAGCCCGGGCGGUGGUUGUCCCGGGGUAAGGGUGUAGGGCGUCAUGCAGGUAAAUCCGCAUGGCACGAAGCCUGAGACCUGAUGCCGAGCCGAUUGUGGUGAAGUGGAUGAUCCUAUGCUGUCGAGAAAAGCCUCUAGCGAGUGCUGUUGCGGCCCGUACCCUAAACCGACUCAGGUGGUCUGGUAGAGAAUACCGAGGCGUUCGGGUGAAC